rnacentral:misc_RNA from 1 species
GAUGAAGAACGUAGCGAAAUGCGAUAAGUAAUGUGAAUUGCAGAAUUCAGUGAAUCAUCGAAUCUUGAACGCACAUUGCGCCCGCUAGUAUUCUGGCGGGCAUGCCUGUCCGAGCGUCAUUUCAACCCUCAAGCCCCCGGGCUUGGUGUUGGGGAUCGGCGAGCCUCCGCGCCCGCCGUCCCCUAAAUCUAGUGGCGGUCUCGCUGUAGCUUCCUCUGCGUAGUAGCACACCUCGCACUGGGAAACAGCGCGGCCACGCCGUUAAACCCCCAACUUCUGAACGUUUGACCUCGGAUCAGGUAGGAAUACCCGCUGAACUUAAGCAUAUCAAUAAGCGGAGGA